rnacentral:rRNA from 1 species
AGCGAACGCUGGCGGCAGGCCUAACACAUGCAAGUCGAACGAACCCUUCGGGGUUAGUGGCGGACGGGUGAGUAACACGUGGGAACGUGCCUUUAGGUUCGGAAUAACUCCGGGCAACUUGUGCUAAUACCGAAUGUGCCCUUCGGGGGAAAGAUUUAUCGCCUUUAGAGCGGCCCGCGUCUGAUUAGCUUGGUGGCGAGUUAAUGGCUCAUCAAGGCUACGAUCAGUAGCUGGUCUGAGAGGAUGACCAGCCACAUUGGGACUGAGACACGGCCCAAACUCCUACGGGAGGCAGCAGUGGGGAAUCUUGCGCAAUGGGCGAAAGCCUGACGCAGCCAUGCCGCGUGGAUGAUGAAGGUCUUAGGAUUGUAAAAUCCUUUCACCGGUGAAGAUAAUGACGGUAGCCGGAGAAGAAGCCCCGGCUAACUUCGUGCCAGCAGCCGCCGUAAGAC